rnacentral:rRNA from 1 species
UGUUUAUCAAAAACAUCGCCUCUUGCUAAAAAAGAAGUAUUAGAGGUCCCGCCUGCCCUGUGACCACAGUGUUUAACGGCCGCGGUAUCCUGACCGUGCGAAGGUAGCGUAAUCACUUGUCUUUUAAAUGAAGACCUGUAUGAAUGGCAUCACGAAGGUUCAACUGUCUCCUUCCCCCAGUCAAUGAAAUUGAUCUGCCCGUGCAGAAGCGGACAUAAAAACAUAAGACGAGAAGACCCUGUGGAGCUUUAGGCCAAGGAUCAAACAUGUAAAACAGACUCAAACCCUAAAAAGAAUAAUAAAAGUCCAAAAACCAAGAGUAACCUGAUCCUAAUGCCUUCGGUUGGGGCGACCGCGGGGGAAAAUAAAGCCCCCACAUGGAAUGGAACUACUUCCUAAACCAAGAGUUACAACUCUAAGUAACAGAAUUUCUGACCACCUAUGACCCAGGACAAACAUAAACCUGAUCAAUGAACCAAGUUACCCCAGGGAUAACAGCGCAAUCCUUUCCCAGAGUCCAUAUCGACGAAAGGGUUUACGACCUCGAUGUUGGAUCAGGACAUCCUAAUGGUGCAGCCGCUAUUAAGGGUUCGUUUGUUCAACGAUUAAUAGUCCUACGUGAUCUGAGUUCAA